UACGUAGGUGGCAAGCGUUGUCCGGAAUUACUGGGUGUAAAGGGCGUGUAGACGGGACUGUAAGUCAGAUGUGAAAUUCCCAGGCUUAACUUGGGCGCUGCAUCUGAAACUAUAGUUCUUUGAGUAUCGGAGAGGAAAGCGGAAUUCCUAGUGUAGCGGUGAAAAUGCGUAGAUAUUAGGAGGAACACCAGUGGCGAAGGGCGCUUUCUGGACGAUAACUGAACGUUGAGGCGCGAAAAGCGUG
rnacentral:rRNA from 1 species